rnacentral:lncRNA from 1 species
UAGCAGUGCCGGGCAUCCAUCUGUCUGUGUUUAAUUGGGGCCUUUAAGAAGCUUGCCCUGCAGGACCCCCGACAGGAAGGCAUGCGGUAAGGAGUACUCGAUGAGGAUGAUGUCGAUUACUCCUGCUGGAGGUACUUGAGUUUAUUCAUUUACUGAUUUACUCAGACAACAGAUAUGUAUUGAGUACCUACUACACGUGGGGCCCAGGCUUGGUGCAGGAGAUAUACUAGUGAGGAAAACAGUGGAUCCUGUUCUUAUGCACAUUACAGUUUGAUGGGGGGGGGGGGGAACAGACAUUAUUGAAAUGCUCAAGAUAAUAAAAUAACCAAUUUGUGGUAAGUGAUCCAGAGGAAGGGUAAAUACAAGCCAAAUAAGACUACAGACACAAGACAAGGUAACUCAAGGCCGAAGGCCUGCAUAAACAGGCACUAAGUUCUGUGAAGAUGACAUAGAAAUUGUCUAAGCUGUUUAAAAAGUCUGUUAGUUUACUACACAUAUUUGUGGCAGUCUUAAAAUCACCCCUUUCUUUGCAGUCACCAACAGAUGAAGUAGCAAACAGAUACAGAAAAAGUGGCCCUUUUGUCUCCCACUAAAUGUUACCCUUCAGCUCAAGGUGGGAAUUGGUUCCACACUUUCUCUCCUCGAUGGCUUUCCUUCUUCUAACUUCUCUUUUUCAAAAUGCGGGAAUUGCAUCAAAAGCUGUACAGAAUCUCGGACUUAAAUUCCCCAAGCAUUGUUUUCUUUGUACCAGUUUCCUUUGCUAGAAAGCACAAGAAGCUUCGCUUUAAGCUGAUGUUCUAAUUUCUCACCUGCCAUUCAAGGAUCUCAUGACAUCCUACAACCUCCUUUCAGUCCUGUCUCCCAUAGCCCCUGUAGGCCAAGGAGAAUACCACCUACCACCUCGAGAACAGACAUUGCAUGUCUCCUUCCCUGCUUCUGAUCCAGAUUGUAGCUUAUGCCAUUCCAGGCAUCCCAAGUGGCUUUCCCUCUUGUCAGUAAAUGAUGCCUUCCUUAAAGCAAAAUCACCAAGAUACAUAGGCGAUACAAAUAGAUAAAUGGUGGUUUGUUUUAAACAUUCUUACUUGGCAAAAAUAAAAGAUUUCUAUUCCUAUAUUGGUCUUCCCAUUACAAAGAUUUUAUUACACCAAUCUCUCAGACUGUAGAGUCGGGGAAGCAUGACCCAAUGAAGAAGUGCCCUUUGAAGAGUCUGGCCUGGCUCUCCUUGGGAAAGAAAAUCCGCCCACAUCUGGGUGACUGUCCUCCUUCUGAUGUUCUAGACCUUCAGGAUGUCAAAGCGCCCUUUCACCUGUUUGUCAGGCUUGCCCUUAGAGUUCUGGUUUCCUUUCUAGGGACCUACACUUCUUCUGGCCAUUGACUGGAAAGACAGGUCUACCCACAGGGAUGUGGUCUCAGGCUGUAGCCUCAAUGGAACAACCACAUUGAAUUGUGAUAAUGUGGUAGAUAAAUUAUCACUGCAUGUCAUGGUGGCAAUAGAGUUUUGAAAUAUCCAAACAGGCUGCCUCUAUUUUAAUUUUUCUAUACCGACUCUCUCUGCUACUUCUCCAGGGAGGCUGAGAAUUGUUUCAGAAGGCAUGCAAAGAUCGAAGAGUCAAAGAAAGAGGAGUCGGGGAAGCAAACUAUCUGCUUCUAAAUAGGAUUGGCUUCUCAGCCAGAAAGUAGCUUUCAAAGCUAGGCUUUCUAAGACACAGAGAGAAAUGUUCUAGGUUUAUGUACCCCUUUUGUUUGCAUAUCAAGAGCCACCUUAAUCAGGGAGAUUUAUGAAGGGAAGUCCUGAAAUAGAUGGGAAGAGAAAGAAUAAAACCCACCCCAUCCAGCCUAGUGAUCUGUCUGGGAAAGAAGGAGGAGAGAGGGGAUAGGCCAGCUCUGAGAGGUGAGUCUCAUCUCACCUACUGAUCCUCAGCCACAGGAGAAUGGGUGAGUGUGUGGGGAAAGGCAAAGGCUUGAAGACCUCGACUCUGGGACUUGGGAGUUCCCCUUCCUGUUACCUGGCACCACCCUGGGAGUGACUGCAGCAUGGUUUUGCAGGGACAAGGGCUGAAUAUAAUUUCCAGGCUGCUCACUGAUCACUAUAGAAUAGACUGGACCCAGGAGUUCCCCCCUGCACCAAAGUAGAGGCCAACAGGCCUCCAUGCAUUGGCCAUCCUGAGGGAAAGGUGAGUCAGCAAGGUCAGGGGCCAACAUUCUAGGGAGGAGCCAGUUGGAGGACGCAGGGUCUGGAGCAGCCUCAGACCAGGGACCCAGGCAUCAGGGAACACAAGCAGACCCUUCCAAGCCAAGUGGCCCAGAAGACAGAUAUGAUGGCUACAGCCUUAACAGUAGGUACACACAAAACUCUCAGGGAUGGGACCAGUCUCACCCUCAAAGGCUCAACCAGGGAGCAUCCACACCGCCCACCACAGCACCCAUCAGAGGAAUGCAGAAGAUACUGAAUGGCUCUGAGGAUCCUGUCUUUGUCUCUACACAGUCCAUCAGCCCAAACUCCAUAGCAGACCCAGACACCAUCUCCAAAAUACAGAAAAAGAGGAUGGAAAAAUCUAAAAGUCUAAGCAUUUUUUUUCCUUUUCUUUUUUUCUACCUAAAGAGAUGGACCAUUUACCUAACUUGUUUGUUUAAAUUGUUUCAUCCAACUGUUUCCCCUCUAUUCAGUGGCUGGAAGCUCAGAGGAAGAGAAGAACAAUUUUAGAGAAAUGAAGAUGCUACAUCUUCUUGCACAUCUGUGAGCAGCCUGAAAAAAAAUCUGUAGCUCAUAUGCAAGUGCUGGAGCCUUUCCAGGCCUCCUCCCCACUGCUAAAUUGGGUGCUGCCUGGGCUGCUCCGUUCCUCCCACCCACCCACACACAACUGCACAGAAGAGCUCGCAGGGUCCAGGCCGGAUCUGUGGGACUUUAUAUGCAAAAUCAAGAGAAUGAGAGGAGUAGAAAUGGCAAAGCCACACAGGUAGAUUCUAAGGGGCAAGAAUAAAAUACAAGCUUCUCUUUUUAAGUGGCGGUAGCAAGCAAGGGACAUGAUGUGUCCAGAGGCGUCUAGAGGCAGUGGGAGGACAGAGAUAAAGGAAGGAAAGGGCAUUUCUCUGGGGAAAGAGAACACGGGGUCCUGGCAUUGCUGGAUAGUAGAAGAAAUAAGAAGAAAAGUAUUUUAACAAAGGCUGCCCUAAGUUACCUACGUGGGUCUCAUUUACAUUCCUUGAGAUUUAAGAGUAGAAUUCCCAUCAAGACCAAUGACCCUGCCAUUACACAGAUGCAUUAAUACAGAGCAGGGAUGCUCAAAUGGGCGUGGCUUUGUCUCCCAGAGGCCUUCUGGCAACAACAUUUGUGAUUGUCACAGCUGGGAGAUGCUAGUGGCAUCUAGAAAGUAGAGGCCAGGGAUACUGCUGAGCACCCAGUAAUGCAUAGGACAGUUCCUGACAACGAAGAGGUAUCCCAGCCAAAAUGUCAGCAGUGCCUACUCAAGAAAUCACGUGUGAGAAAAAUGGAGGAAGGGACAGUUGCUUCCUUACAUCAAGCCUUUCUAAUGACAAAAUAAAAGCUUUUUUUCCCUUUAAACAUUCUCUUUUUUAUUUUUCCACAUUUGUGAAAGUAGCACCACAUACCUAAUAGUGAUCUCUGCUGAAUCAUAGAAAUUAAUUUCCUAAAAAUCUUAAAAGGUUGGAGAAUUCCUGUUGAACAAUUCCAGCUCCUUCCUUCUGGAAACUUCUUUGCUCAACCCUACGUUUCCAACUUUAUGAAAGGCCCUUAUAAAUGUUUUUUUUAUUUUCAAUAUGGAAAUAUAAAACUAGCAUGCCAAGUAAAAUAGCUGUCACAUUUGAGACAUGACCACAGUGAGUAAUCAUGGCUACUCUCCAUCCUUUGUUCAUUGCUGGAGGAUCCUCCCAAUCUAGCUCUCUUCCACUCCACCCCUCCCCACGCUUUCACAGAGGUACUAACAAAUGUGUUCAGCUUUGUUGCAGAUAAGACGCCCAUCAAGAAGGAAUAUUUGGGAUACCCGUGUUGAGAGAUGGUGGUAUAUUUGGUUUUUCAUCCAAAUGCUUUAUUUAAUGUCUUGUGGGCUUUGAGUCCCACCACCCCAGCCUCCUUCCCAUCAGCCCUCCCUGCUCCGGUCUCAGGUCCUUCUCAGUGCACAGACAACCUCAGGCUUCAGCCCUAAGAAUCUGCCUUGUGUGGCUUAAAACAACAACAGGACAAAUUCCAUGAGGGAAUAUUUACAUUUUGGUGGAUGUUUUGGUUUGAUCAUUCAAAAUAGGCCAUUAGCUUCUCAAAAUUUUGUGGCUUUAUAAAUCCUUGUCUUUUCUUUGAAAUUUCAUCCUAUAUUUAUGAACUAAAUACCAACAUUAUUAGAACUGGAUAAAAUGCAACUUAUUAAAAAAAAAAUCCUUCUGCAAGUCACAAGAGGUGAGGGGCUCAUUUCCUCAUUACAUUCCUGAUCACAUUCUCUCUUAGGAGGCAGCAGCCUCAAAGAGGGCCACCCACAGUCCUGGUCUGGAAGGUCAAUUGAGGAGGUCCCCUUCUUUGGGUCCUCAACUGUGAGGGCCAAGAUAAUGAGCUGGGCUGUUCCAGACCUCUGUAUGUAUCCGUAGGGACAUACCAAGCACCCAGAGGCAGGACACGGUGCUAGAAGGAGGUCGAUAGCAAGUUUGGUCCUAGCACCAGGGCCACCAAAGGUAACGGGCUUCAGAUGCCUCUGCCUGCCUUUUGGUGUCUCUUCCUCCAGGAGCAGCAAAUGGCAGGCAGGGCCGCAUGUGAUGACUCAAGACCACUGUCCAUCCUGUGACUUAUGAAUGAACCACUUGGACUACAAGAGAUGGGUUCAUAGUAUCAGCACACAAUGCGCAGAAGUCCCACUUGUAACAGGGAGGAGCAUGCUCUUGGCUUUCAUCACCGACAGAUGGUGGCUUAAACAAAUAAGCAUUUGAUUUUUUUCUCUCUCUCAUAACCAAAACGCUGCAAGAAUGCAGUCCAAAGCCGGUACAGGGGCUCAAGCCUUCAGAGGCAGGAAUCCCUUGGUCUUUUUGUCACGAUCCCAAGAUGGCUGUUGAAUUUACAGGCAUUUGUCCAUGUUCACUGAAGGCAGGAGCACAGCAAAAAGGUCCAGUGGCUGCUGAUUAAGAGAACGGAGACGGAAGGGGUAGACUGGAGAAUGGAAUGGUGGGGUCCUAAUCUAUAAUUCUGAAGGUCAUGGUGAUUCAUAUUAUGGGGAUUGCUCACAGACCCUCUCCUCUGAAAUGCCUUUUUAAAAAAAUCUUUUAUUGAUUUUAUUUUUUUUUAAAUACACAACAGCAGUGGAAUGCAUUACAAUUCUGGAUGGCAUGAUCAAGAAUAAAAGUUUAUUUCAUCUCUGUAAAAAAAAAAAAAAAAGGUCCAGUGGCAGGCUCAUCUGUCUCUUCUAUCAGGGAAAGCUAAAAUCUUUUGGAAGCACAAUCUGGACUCUCACUGAGCCAUAUAAUUCAACCUAGGGCCAGAAAUCAGUAUUAGCUUGACUGACCUCUCUAGUGGAGGCAGCAAGGGAGGAGGCUGGGAAUAUCUGUUGAUUUAACCAUAGUAUAAAGGUCUUCUCUGUUUCCAGCCUGGAGUCUUAGAGUAGCUUAGACUUGAUAUAGAAAACAGAGCUGAGCUGAUUUUUCUGGGUCUAUGCAGUACUGCUUUGAACCUAGAAAUGGGAAGAUGGCCACUCUUGCCAGCUCUGUUGACACUUGGAAGUACCGUUGGUCCUGAAGGGUGAUGUUCUUGGCUUGGUCCUUGACAUUCUCAUAGAAGAUGUCAUAGUUCCUCUUUCUCCCUUUGCAGGCAUGGACCAAGAAAAGGCCGUUAGAGGACACAGUGAGGAGGCAGCCAUCAGCAAGCCAGGAAGAGAGACCUCACCGGAGACCAAAUCAACCAGCACCUUGGAAUUUCUGGGUUCAUGAUGUUAAUAGGAGUUCAUUGGUAGCCACAGGCUGAUUUGGCUACUUGGGGAUUUGAUAGUAAUAACAAAUAUGAAAACAUCUCGCAACUUUGAGAUCAGUUUUCCCAGCUUCCACAACAACCCACAAACAACUGAAGAGGUUUAUAUCCAGGCUAUUUCUAGACCACAGCAAGCAAAUCCCUGAGCUGCUGCUCUCCUUGGAGAUCUCCGCCAAAAAAGAGCUGCUUGGGACACGAGGCCCAGCCUAGGGUGAGGGCUGCAAACCCCAGGCCGUGCCUCUUUCCCUGUCUCCUUCCUCAUCUGACUUCUGAGAUAUUGCACCCACCCUUUCAGCAAACCCCGGCCUCAGCCCAGCUGGUUGUGUGGUUUUCUCUAGUUUCCCUGUGGGGCUUUAAACUCAGAAUUCUGGGCUCAGUUUUAGCCGCUUCUGUGAAUGGGCCACCUCAUGCAUCUGCUCAUUCAUUCCUUCAUCAGAUGUUUUGUAAGUGGCUUCCAGUCUUCUGCUUUCUGUGGCCUAGGGAGGCAAAGACGAAUAGAAUGCUGUCCAGUCUGAGAAUCUCACAGGCAGGUGAACAAACAGGAACAAUAGAUGUGGUAUACUACAGUGAACAUAUGUAUAUAUAUGUACCAUAGCGGCCCUAAUGGAGAAGAGGCUAGUUCUAUGGGGUGAAUUCAGGAGGUGAACCUUGGGCGUUAAAUGUAUUGACAUGUGUUCAAGUGAAUUUAGGCAAUAUUAUUGCAAGAUAAGUAGACAUGUUGGUGUGGUGGGCAGAGUUUGCCUGGUCCAUGGAUACUGACGCCCUUUCUUUCUCACAAGAGAACACUAAUUUGGUUGAGACCUCUUGUUGCUUCAUGGUUUUCUCAAGAAAGAGGGUCCAUCCUCAAUCCCAGGGGUAUUAAUGUUGAUUAAACUAAGAUAAUUAUAUAUUCAUAAAGAUUGUAAGACUUAACAAGAUGAUACCUGCUCAGGGUGAGAGAAAGCAUGGUGGUAGUGAUUUCCUAGAAAUCUGUCUGGGAAAUAUUUUCCAACCUAAAAGAAAAAGACAUUAAAAAAAAAAUACUCCUUCUUACCACUGGAUAUUGAGAUUGUGGUGCUACAGCAGCCAUUUUGUGCCAAUAAGGCAAAACCCAAGAAAAUUGCAAAGAUGCUAACCUUAUCAUCGUCACGCUGCUGAAUUCCUGGGGGAGUUCUUUUUCUCCUCCCUACUAAGGACAUUUUUCAACAUUUCAAAAAUUGUGGUAAAUAAAUAUAAAAUGAAACUUGUCAUCUUAACUUUUUUAAAGUAUAGAGUUCAGUGAUAUUAAGUGCAUUUAUAUUGUUGUACAACCAUCACCACUAUCCAUCUAAGAACUCUUUCCAUCUUGCAAAACUGAAACUCUGUACCCAUCAAACAAUAGCUCCCCAUUCCUCUCUCUCUUUGGGUCCCUGUCAGCCACCAUUCUACUUCUGACUGUAUGAAUUUGAAUCAAACAGUUUUUGUCUUCUUGUGACUGACUUAUUUCACCUAACAUAAAGUCCUUGAGGUUAUUCAUGCUGUAGCAUGUGUCAGAAUUUCCUUCCUGUUUAAGGGUGAAUAAUAUUCCAUUGCUUGUCUAUACCACAUUUUGUUUUUCCAUUUGUCUGUUGAUGGACACUUGGUUAUUUCCACCUUUUGGCUAUUAUGAAUAACACUGCUAUGAACAUGAGUGUGCAAAUAUCUCUUCAAUACCCCAAUUUUCCAUGUUUUAGGGUAUCUACCCAGAAGUGGAAUUGUUGGAUCAUGUGGUGAUUCUAUUAUUUUUUUAGUAACAUAAAUAAAGA